rnacentral:rRNA from 1 species
GACGAACGCUGGCGGCGUGCCUAAUACAUGCAAGUUGAGCGCUGAAGGUUGGUACUUGUACCGACUGGAUGAGCAGCGAACGGGUGAGUAACGCGUGGGGAAUCUGCCUUUGAGCGGGGGACAACAUUUGGAAACGAAUGCUAAUACCGCAUAAAAACUUUAAACACAAGUUUUAAGUUUGAAAGAUGCAAUUGCAUCACUCAAAGAUGAUCCCGCGUUGUAUUAGCUAGUUGGUGAGGUAAAGGCUCACCAAGGCGAUGAUACAUAGCCGACCUGAGAGGGUGAUCGGCCACAUUGGGACUGAGACACGGCCCAAACUCCUACGGGAGGCAGCAGAAGGGAAUCUUCGGCAAUGGACGAAAGUCUGACCGAGCAACGCCGCGUGAGUGAAGAAGGUUUUCGGAUCGUAAAACUCUGUUGGUAGAGAAGAACGUUGGUGAGAGUGGAAAGCUCAUCAAGUGACGGUAACUACCCAGAAAGGGACGGCUAACUACGUG